AAAAAGAGAACCCAAAAUAAAUAAAACGCAGAACGCCAGAACGCAGUCUUCUACAUUGAAGACAACGCAUCAUCGAGACCGAUGAAGAAAGACCCGUGACUAUAUGAGGCCUCCAAAUUUCCUCCUUUUCUUUUGUAUUGUUUCACCAAUUUGGGCAAAGAUGGAACGUUUGCUGUUGAUUCAGAAAUUUCUGAUUCCCCUCUGCUUCUUUCAAAGAUAAACGAAAGGUGAUACAAUUCCAACAAGCUGUCGAGGCCUCAAGUCACAAAGUUUGUGGUUAAUAAAACUAGGUUCUAUUUGUUCUUUAUCUUUUUGGAAAGGUUGAAUUGUUCUCUUUGUUUUGGGUUUGAAUUUGCUUGUUUUGGUUGGAUCUGA